CGUAGCGAAUCUAAAGUUCCCUAAUAUCUGUAUCUGUACGGGAGAAAGUAAACUUGUCGAGGAAAACCUCGUCUAGCUGUAUACCAGGCUUUAUUUAAAGUUGGAGGGAAAUUCUCUCCUAGGAAAAGAAACGGGACUGGCGAAGAACACAGGAGAGCUUUAUUCAUUUAAUUCGCUCAGCUAGAUGUCAAGAACCUCAACCCGCUACACCACUGACCAAUCCCGACUACAUCGAGUGUUCGUAUUGUCAACGGAAGUUCAAACCAACCGUAGCAGAGACACACAUACCAAGAUGCAAAGAUAUCAAGGCUAGGCCCAGACCCCCACGACGCUAGGACAGUAUCACAUGUGUAUGUAUGAAGAAUGUCUAAGAAAAUAGGAAUAGUGUGAUGCUAGAGAUGAGGAAAAGUUUCAUGGCUACUACUGUAAACAACCGUCAAUAUUGAAGUGUGAAUUUGAUAAGCCAACACAUUGUACAGUAUAUCAUAGAAGAGCAAACAACGUUUUAGAUAAAUUUCUUUAGAGCAAACUUUAGUAUAUAUCAUAAAUUACUAAAUUAGCGUAAUUAAUGAAGAACAAUGGUAAUGCAUGCAGUCUCAAAUGAAUCGUAAAUUAGUUUUCUUUUGAUUUUGCAUCAUAUGAUGACAUCAUAUCCGGAAACUUUGACAGUGAAAAAGUUGAUCAAAAUUAUGUUUUUUACUAUAUAUAUAUAUUUCCUCAUUUCAUAAUCCAAAUACCAAAAAUCGUAUUCGGGGUUGGAAGCAGUUUAAUCUUAUAUUUAAUGUCAUUUCUCAUUUCAUAGCCACGCAUACAAGCUGAAACUCUGCAUUGAUCGAGCUGUGCUUGAAUUGUAUUCCUGGGGCCGAUUAUAUAUAAAGGCUGGUCUAGAAAAUUUCAAUGAUCACAGUAGGAAUUUUGCAUACAUGUACGUAAAUUCUAAGUCUUGAAGGAUAUGUAAGAAAUGUU